AGAAGAGAAAGUAUAGAAGGGGAAAAAGUGUAUAUAAUAAUCUGUCUAAAACUGACUUGCAAUUGUAUAAUUAUGGUAUCAUUGUUGUGUUUUGUGGCUGCUUAUACCAGGACCUCAAGGAUCUAGGAAGCAACAAAGAAGAAGAUUUUGUUUUCAAUUAAUUAUAAGCGGAAGUGCAUAAUUAUUUCAUAAAGUUAGCUUAUCUAUAUAAAGUCACUGAGAAGAAAAGACUUAUUACAUGCAUCUAUUGUUGUAUUAUGUGGCUUUAAUACCAGGAUCUCAAGAAAGAAGAAAAUUGGAUCUGUAGUUCAUGCAGUGUAUAAUUAUAAUAUUUAAGAAGAAAAGACUUGUGUACAUGCAUAUUGUUAUCUAUAGUAGUGUUUUGUGGCUUACCAGGCCCUCAAGAAAAAUAUGAUUCUGCCAGGAGGAUCUGGAUCUGGGGAAUGAGCGCGCAUGCGCAUUACAUCCAUAGGAAUAAUUAAAGGGUGUGUCCAAAGAGAUCAAUUUCACAAAUGGCUACUGCUAGCUAGCUGUUUUAACAGGUAUUUUCUGAGUCUUGUAGCUAACAAAAAGCUAGCGCUUUAGUGCAAGGCUAACUCAUAUGUUGAAUAGAAAGUUUGUGCGGACAGAUGAUGCUAUGAAAGAUUCUGAAGAGACUGCAACAGCCUUCAAUGUGACUCAAACUAGCCAUAACUCGAGAAAGAAGCUUUAGUUUGCUAAUCCACGAAUCAAAAUCCAAGAGAACGUGGCUAGAAGCCUAUAGAAGCUGUUAGUUUUAGUCGCAUUGCAACCGUUGAGCAGUUACAGCUGGAACAGACACACAGACACACAGACACACACACACACACACACACACACAGUCAGCUUUACCGUAUCCCUCAUGCGGCUACGCCUCGAGGCAUAAUUAUGCUGCGGUGGACUUGUACCAGCAUUAGCUCUUCUCGACGCUGUUCUAGAGUAGUCCAUCCUAGCUCGCUACGCAGCGGAGGCUUGGAGUCCUAGGAGGCUUGCCCAGGAUGACCCUCAUGCCAUAAUUCUGGAUGCUCUCAACUCGAUCUUUGAGCUUGCUGCUACAGGCAUGCCAUACUACUGAGCAGUAGUCCAAGUGGGGGCGAACCAAGGCAUUAAAGAGGAGUUUCCUUGUGUUGAUGGGGAUGCUUGGGCUUAUUUUUCUGAGACAGGCAAUUCCAGCUGAUGCUUUUUUCUUUACACCACUGAUGUGACUUUACGACAUUCGGAAGAUCGUUUACAAAUAUUACAAAAAGAAGUGGGCCCAGAAUAGAACCUUGAGGGACACCCCUGGUGAUGGCUGCCCAUUUAGAUGCUGAAGAGUUUACCAGGACUCUCUGCUCUCUGUCCUGAAGGUAGUUUUCAAACCAUUUAAGCUCAUUUUCUUGGAGACCAUAACUUUCCAGCUUCCGCAGGAGGAUCUUGUGGUCAAUACUGUCAAACGCUUUGCUGAGGUCAAUGAGGACUGCUCCUACAUGUUUGCCUUGGUCAAUGGCAGUCUUCCAGUCUUCAACUGUCUUUAGAAUUACAUCCUGGGUAUUGUGAGCUGGUCGGAACCCUGAUUGGUAGUGACUGAUUUGGUUGUUGCUUGCCAUAUGUGUAUACAGCUGUUUGUGGAUGAUUUGUUCCAUUACUUUUACAAUGACUGGUAGAACGGAUAUGGGUCUAUAGUUGUUAGGUUUGUGAUCAUUUGGAGUCUUUUGAAUAGGUGUGACAUUUGCUCUCUUCCAAUUCUGCAGGAAUCUUUCCUGUAGUUAGAGAGUGGUCUUUAGAUACGAAUGUAGCUACCAAAAAUUAAGGUAAACAAAAUUCAAAUGCGCUAAUAAGAGUAGAGGUUUUUAAUGGAAGGAUAUUGUCUUGUCUGCCCCGGCUGUUGCCAACAGUGUGCUUGUAGGAUUCCAGGCCACAUUCCACACACGUUCCAGGUGCCCUGAGGGAACACACAGCCUGAGGGGUGUGCUGCACUGACGGGAGAAGGACUGAAGGUUGGUCAACAGAUCCUCUCUGUAGGAGGUCAGUGUCUCUACAACCUGAGACACAAAGAGGUGGUGAUGGCCGUCAAGAGUGCCUUUGAGGGAGGACCGCUACAAAAAACAUUGGAGCUAGUAUUGUUAGAUCAAGCGUAGAACAAUAUGAUGAGCAGUUUUAUCUCUUGAUUGUUUGUACAUGUACAAUAUAUAUAUAUAGAUGAUUUUGCUAUAAUUAUAGCUCAUGAUUAAUAACUGCUUUAACAUGACUGUGUGUGUCCAUUAUACAUAUGCGACUGUAUUAAUUAAUUUUUAUGUAUUUAGCUAUUAUUUUACUGAACCAACUUCUUUUG